UUCCAGUCAAUGAUUUUGGAUUCCAUUUUUUUGCAUUCCAUUACAUUCUAUGACAUUCGAUUCCGUUUCAUUGCAUUCCAUUCCAUACAUUUUUAUUCCAUUCGAGACCGUAGCAUUCCACUUUAUUCCAGUCCAUUCCAAUCCAUUCCUUUCCUUUCGCUUGCAUUCCAUUCUAUUCUCUUCUACUGCAUACAAUUUCACUCCAUUCGUU
rnacentral:lncRNA from 10 species